rnacentral:lncRNA from 1 species
CCAGCCAUGGCCACGCUGAGACAUGGGUCUGGGAGUGGUGUGAGAACCUGAACCCACCCGCUCCCCUCCAGCCCCUCCAAGACCCCCAGGAGGCAUUAGAUUUUCAUUCCCUCAACAAGGGGGAGACAGUGUCAGAGGCACUGCCUCAGGGUCCCCCAGGCACCUGAACCCUGAGCUCCCAGGAGGGGCCCAGGCUGCAGCUGAGGCUGGCCAGGGUGAGUUCUCCACUGAUGGUAGUGAAAACAGUGACGGUGCGGGGGUGGGGAGCACUGCGGUCCACUUCUUCAGCCCCCACUAUCCUGGAAGCUUCAGGGUGGGCCCGAGGCAGCCUCCAGCUUCAGCGACCACCCCUGUUCCUCUUGCCAGGUUCUUUGUGAACUUCCCCUCGGCCAAGCAGUACUUCAGCCAGUUCAAGCACAUGGAGGAUCCCCUGGAGAUGGAGCGGAGCCCCCAGCUGGAGGGGCCUGGGGGUUGCAGGACGCAGGGCGCCCGGGCGUUCACUCCCCCUUCCUCCCUUUGCCCCCAGAUCCUCUCUGGGGUCAUUCUGGAGGUGGUCGCCGAGGAAUUUGCCAGUGACUUCCCACCUGAGACGCAGAGAGCCUGGGCCAAGCUGCGUGGCCUCAUCUACAGCCACGUGACCGCUGCCUACAAGGAAGUGGGCUGGGUGCAGCAGGUCCCCAACGCCACCACGUGAGGAGGCGGGCGAGGGUGGGCUGGGCAGCCUCCCCGCCAUGUCCUCUGCUGUCCCCGAGGUCUCCCAUAUCUCCUGAGGCCCUGGGGCUGAUCACCUGGGCAGGCACACUUGAGGCAGGCCAACCCUGGGGUCUGACAUGUAAGAACAGGCAUAAUAGGAAAGGC